CCCUUAGAGUUUGAUCCUGGCUCAGAUUGAACGCUGGCGGCAUGCCUUACACAUGCAAGUCGAACGGCAGCGCGGGGCAACCUGGCGGCGAGUGGCGAACGGGUGAGUAAUAUAUCGGAACGUACCCUGGAGUGGGGGAUAACGUAGCGAAAGUUACGCUAAUACCGCAUACGAUCUAAGGAUGAAAGUGGGGGAUCGCAAGACCUCAUGCUCCUGGAGCGGCCGAUAUCUGAUUAGCUAGUUGGUGGGGUAAAGGCCUACCAAGGCAUCGAUCAGUAGCUGGUCUGAGAGGACGACCAGCCACACUGGAACUGAGACACGGUCCAGACUCCUACGGGAGGCAGCAGUGGGGAAUUUUGGACAAUGGGCGAAAGCCUGAUCCAGCAAUGCCGCGUGAGUGAAGAAGGCCUUCGGGUUGUAAAGCUCUUUUGUCAGGGAAGAAACGGUGAAGGCUAAUAUCCUUUGCUAAUGACGGUACCUGAAGAAUAAGCACCGGCUAACUACGUGCCAGCAGCCGCGGUAAUACGUAGGGCGCAAGCGUUAAUCGGAAUUACUGGGCGUAAAGCGUGCGCAGGCGGUUUUGUAAGUCUGUCGUGAAAUCCCCGGGCUCAACCUGGGAAUUGCGAUGGAGACUGCAAGGCUAGAAUCUGGCAGAGGGGGGUAGAAUUCCACGUGUAGCAGUGAAAUGCGUAGAGAUGUGGAGGAACACCGAUGGCGAAAGCAGCCCCCUGGGUCAAGAUUGACGCUCAUGCACGAAAGCGUGGGGAGCAAACAGAUUAGAUACCCUGGUAGUCCACGCCCUAAACGAUGUCUACUAGUUGUC
rnacentral:rRNA from 1 species